rnacentral:rRNA from 1 species
AUGAACGCUAGCGACAGGCCUAACACAUGCAAGUCGAGGGGCAGCGACAAGGAGCAAUCUGAGGUGGCGACCGGCGCACGGGUGAGUAACACGUAUGCAACCUGCCUGUAAGCGGGGAAUAACCCGUUGAAAGACGGACUAAUACCGCAUAAUACUAAAUUACUGCAUGGUAAUUUAUUUAAACAUUUAUGGCUUACAGAUGGGCAUGCGCAUGAUUAGCUAGUUGGAGAGGUAACGGCUCCCCAAGGCAACGAUCAUUAGGGGUUCUGAGAGGAAGGUCCCCCACACUGGUACUGAGACACGGACCAGACUCCUACGGGAGGCAGCAGUGAGGAAUAUUGGUCAAUGGACGAGAGUCUGAACCAGCCAAGUCGCGUGCAGGAAGAAUGUCCCUAUGGAUUGUAAACUGCUUUUGCAGGGGAAUAAAGUGCAUCACGUGUGAUGUUUUGUAUGUACUCUGCGAAUAAGGAUCGGCUAACUCCGUGCCAGCCGCAGC